GACGAACGCUGGCGGCGUGCUUAACACAUGCAAGUCGAACGGAAAGGCCCUGCUUUUGUGGGGUGCUCGAGUGGCGAACGGGUGAGUAACACGUGAGUAACCUGCCCUUGACUUUGGGAUAACUUCAGGAAACUGGGGCUAAUACCGGAUAGGAGCUCCUGCUGCAUGGUGGGGGUUGGAAAGUUUAGGCGGUUGGGGAUGGACUCGCGGUUUAUCAGCUUGUUGGUUGGGGAGUGGCUUACCAAGGCUUUGACGGGUAGCCGGCCUGAGAGGGGGACCGGCCACAAUGGGCCUGAGAUACGGCGCAGACUCCUACGGGAGGCAGCAGGCGGGAAUAUUGCACAAUGGGCGGAAGCCUGAUGCAGCAGCGCCGCGUGCGGGAUGACGGCCUUCGGGUUGUGAACCGCUUUCGCCUGAGACGAAGCGUGAGUGACGGUAAUGGGUAAAGAAGCACCGGCUAACUACGUG
rnacentral:rRNA from 1 species